rnacentral:rRNA from 1 species
UACGUAGGGGGGCAAGCGUUGUCCGGAUUUAUUGGGCGUAAAGAGCGUGUAGGCGGCCAUACAGGUCAGCUGUGAAAACUCGAGGCUCAACCUCGAGACGUCGGUUGAAACCGUAUGGCUAGAGUCCGGAAGAGGAGAGUGGAAUUCCCGGUGUAGCGGUGAAAUGCGCAGAUAUCGGGGAAGAACACCCGUGGCGAAGGCGGCUCUCUGGGACGGUACUGACGCUGAGACGCGAAAGCGUGGGGAGCGAACAGG